rnacentral:rRNA from 1 species
UAGGGAAUCUUCCACAAUGGACGCAAGUCUGAUGGAGCAACGCCGCGUGAGUGAGGAAGGUUUUCGGAUCGUAAAGCUCUGUUGUUGGUGAAGAAGGAUAGAGGCAGUAACUGGUCUUUUUUUGACGGUAAUCAACCAGAAAGUCACGGCUAACUACGUGCCAGCAGCCGCGGUAAUACGUAGGUGGCAAGCGUUGUCCGGAUUUAUUGGGCGUAAAGCGAGCGCAGGCGGAAUGAUAAGUCUGAUGUGAAAGCCCACGGCUCAACCGUGGAACUGCAUCGGAAACUGGCAUUCUUGAGUGCAGAAGAGGAGAGUGGAAUUCCAUGUGUAGCGGUGGAAUGCGUAGAUAUAUGGAAGAACACCAGUGGCGAAGGCGGCUCUCUGGUCUGCAACUGACGCUGAGGCUCGAAAGCAUGGGUAGCGAACAGG